CUCUAAAGGGACUGCCGGUGUUAAACCGGAGGAAGGUGGGGAUGACGUCAAGUCCUCAUGGCCUUUAUGACCAGGGCUACACACGUACUACAAUGGCCGAUACAAAGGGCAGCGACACUGCGAAGUGAAGCCAAUCCCGUAAAAUCGGUCUCAGUCCGGAUUGGAGUCUGCAACUCGACUCCAUGAAGUUGGAAUCGCUAGUAAUCGUGGAUCAGCAUGCCACGGUGAAUACGUUCCCGGGCCUU
rnacentral:rRNA from 1 species